CGUUCUUUCCUAUUUAAGAUGAGCACGCUUAAGCUAGUUUAAGUGUUGCGUUUACAAGGGUGUUUGUGGGUCUUUUUUUAUUGUAUUUUUGAAAACUUUCUUCAACGGGCGUUAUUUCAGUCAAGGACUAAGAUGGCUGCAAAAAAUGAGUUUGCAGUUAAUCCUUUUAUUAGAUAAAUUACCGUCAAGAUCUACUUAGCUGUGUUGACUUAUGUGUUUAAACAAACAACUAGCUAGACAAUUGCUUAGACGUGUGUUUUAAUAGCAAACAUUGUUUAUUAAAACGCUUCUGCAGAUUGAUCAGUGUUUCUUCUUUGUGUGAGGCCCUGUGAAGCAUGCAAUAUAAAGGCAACCGUUUCUCAUCAUGGGUCUCCGCUACGUGACUUGACGGUUGGCCGGUAUGACAUUUGUACACAAGAAUGCAUGUAAUGUACAUGCAAUCCUUAAGCAGUGUCGGUGAGAUCUUGUAAUGACCCGUAACCACUGUGUACUUUUGCCUAAAGGCUGGGGGUCUCGGUUUACAAUUUUUUUUUUCCAUUUGUCACAAUUGUUUAAUCUAUUUAAAUAAAGUAUGGUUAAAAUCCCA